rnacentral:rRNA from 1 species
GAUGAACGCUGGCGGCGUGCCUAAUACAUGCAAGUCGAGCGAACGGACGAGAAUCUUGCUUCUCUGAUGUUAGCGGCGGACGGGUGAGUAACACGUGGAUAACCUACCUAUAAGACUGGGAUAACUUCGGGAAACCGUAGCUAAUACCGGAUAAUAUUUUGAACCGCAUGGUUCAAAAGUGAAAGACGGUCUUGCUGUCACUUAUAGAUGGAUCCGCGCUGCAUUAGCUAGUUGGUAAGGUAACGGCUUACCAAGGCAACAAUGCAUAGCCGACCUGAGGGGGGGUAGGGCCACAGAGAAAGUGAAAGACGGCCAAGAGACUGAGGGGAGGCAGAGAUAGGGAAUCUACGCAGAAGGGGGAAAGCUUGCAGGAGGGACGGAGGGUGGAUGAAGAAGGGCCUCGGGCGGGAAAACGUUUUUAGGGGGGAAAAAAGAUUUGGAAAGUAACGGAGCGAAAGUGACGGGAAUCUAUAAAGAAGCCCCGGCUAACUAAGUG